GAACGCACCUUGCGCCCCUUGGCUAUUCCGAGGGGCAUGCCUGUUUGAGUAUCAUGAACACCUCAACUCUCACGGUUUGCCGUGGUGAGCUUGGAUGUUGGGGGUUUUGCUGGCCUGUGGUCGGCUCCUCUCAAAUGAAUCAGCUUUCCAGUGUUUGGUGGCGCCAUGGGUGUGAUAACUAUCUACGCUCGUGACUGUCUGCCAGGUAACCUUCCGCAAUGGGGGUUUGCUGGAGCUCACAAAUGUCUCUCCUCAGUGAAGACAGCCUUUUGAACGUUCGAUCUCAAAUCAGGUAGGACUACCCGCUGAACUUA
rnacentral:misc_RNA from 1 species